GAUGAACGCUGGCGGCGUGCCUAACACAUGCAAGUCGAGCGAUCUUCUUCGGAAGAGAGCGGCGGACGGGUGAGUAACGCGUGGGUAACCUGCCUCAUACACAUGGAUAACAUACCGAAAGGUAUGCUAAUACAAGAUGAUAUAAGAGAUUCGCAUGGAUUUCUUAUCAAAGCUCCGGCGGUAUGAGAUGGACCCGCGUCUGAUUAGCUAGUUGGUAAGGUAACGGCUUACCAAGGCGACGAUCAGUAGCCGACCUGAGAGGGUGAUCGGCCACAUUGGAACUGAGACACGGUCCAAACUCCUACGGGAGGCAGCAGUGGGGAAUAUUGCACAAUGGGCGAAAGCCUGAUGCAGCAACGCCGCGUGAGCGAUGAAGGCCUUCGGGUCGUAAAGCUCUGUCCUCAAGGAAGAUAAUGACGGUACUUGAGGAGGAAGCCCCGGCUAACUACGUGCCAGCAGCCGCAGUAAGAC
rnacentral:rRNA from 1 species